rnacentral:tRNA from 1 species
GGACCCGUAGCUCAGUUGGAUAGAGCAGGUGACUUCUAAUCAUCAGGUCGAAGGUUCGAAUCCUUCCGGGUUCG